CGGGGCCGCACCCGAGCUACCCGUGCCCACCGGUGGGCCGGCGGUGGGAGCUCGGGAGCAGGCGCUGGCAGUCAGUCGGAACUACCUCUCCCAGCCUCGCCUCACAUACAAGACAGUAUCUGGAGUCAAUGGUCCACUAGUGAUCUUAGAUCAUGUUAAGUUUCCCAGGUAUGCUGAAAUUGUCCAUUUGACCUUACCGGAUGGCACAAAGAGAAGUGGGCAAGUUCUGGAAGUUAGUGGUUCCAAGGCAGUAGUUCAGGUAUUUGAAGGGACUUCAGGUAUAGAUGCUAAGAAAACGUCCUGUGAGUUUACUGGGGAUAUUCUCCGAACACCGGUGUCUGAGGAUAUGCUUGGUCGGGUAUUCAAUGGAUCGGGAAAACCCAUUGACAGAGGUCCUGUUGUACUGGCCGAAGACUUCCUUGAUAUCAUGGGUCAGCCAAUCAACCCUCAAUGUCGAAUCUACCCAGAGGAAAUGAUUCAGACUGGCAUUUCGGCCAUCGAUGGGAUGAACAGUAUUGCUAGGGGGCAGAAAAUUCCUAUCUUCUCUGCUGCUGGGCUACCACACAAUGAGGUGAGGACUGGGAUCGGUUUGCUAUGAAGUUUAGCAGACAAGAAUUUCUAUAAUGCAUCACUGUUACUGAGAAACCGAAUAAAGGGUUUUCAAAAUAAA
rnacentral:lncRNA from 1 species